GCCUUUGUAGCUCAGUAGGUAGAGCACAUCCAUGGUAAGGAUGGGGUCAGCGGUUCGAAUCCGCUCAAAGGCUCCA
rnacentral:tRNA from 2 species